AUUGAACGCUAGCGGGAUGCUUUACACAUGCAAGUCGACCGAGUGGCGGACGGGUGCGUAAUAUAUCGGAACGUGCCCAGUGGAGGGGGAUAACUACUCGAAAGAGUGGCUAAUCCCGCAAACUAUUGGAGCGGCCCAUAUCGGAUUAGCUAGUUGGUGGGGUAAAGGAUCACAAAGGCAACGACCCGUAGCUGGUUUGAGAGGACGACCAGCCACACUGGGACUGAGACACGGCCCAGACUCCUACGGGAGGCAGCAGUGGGGAAUUUUGGACAAUGGGGGAAACCCUGAUCCAGCCAUCCCGCGUGUAUGAGAAGGCCUUCGGGUUGUAAAGUACUUUUGGCAGAGAAGCGGUAUCUGCAGAAUAAGCACCGGCUAACUACGUGCCAGCAGCCGCGGUAAUUC
rnacentral:rRNA from 1 species